rnacentral:lncRNA from 1 species
AAAUGAUGAAGAAAUAUCAUUAGAUGAAACCUCAGAUAUCAUUUUUAGCAGAUAAUUAAAUUUUUCAGAAUUUAUAUUGGCUGUGGUGAUGAUUGUAGUGGGUAUAAUUGAAAUUAUCAGAAAAUUUAGACAAAGACUGCAAAAUUUACUAGACCGACUAGGAAACCCUCCUGCUGCACAAGAUAAUCAACAACAAGCUGCUCAAAACCAACCCAUUGCUCCAUUGCUUGCUCAAAAUCAACAAAUACUUCCCC